GUCUAUGGCCAUACCGUCCUGAACAGGUCCAAUCUGAUCUGAUCUUGGAAGCUAAGCAGGGUCUGGCCUGGUUAGUAUUUGGAUGGAAGAAGUCAGCUUAAAUAAGUGCCAUCCCUA
rnacentral:rRNA from 1 species